CUAUUCUUACUUUGCUAAGGAUCAAAUCAUUGAUUCAACGGAACACUGUGAUGUGGGGUCAGGUUUGGUUUAAAUAUCUAAGCUUAUUAACUUAUUGUAACCAUGGAACCUAGGUUUCUGUA